GUUAGACCGUGGCUUUCUGGUUAGGUACCGUCAAGGUGCCGCCCUAUUCGAACGGUACUUGUUCUUCCCUAACAACAGUAGUUUUACGAUCCGAAAACCUUCAUCACUCACGCGGCGUUGCUCCGUCAGACUUUCGUCCAUUGCGGAAGAUUCCCUACUGCUGCCUCCCGUAGGAGUCUGGGCCGUGUCUCAGUCCCAGUGUGGCCGAUCACCCUCUCAGGUCGGCUACGCAUCGUCGCCUUGGUGAGCCGUUACCUCACCAACUAGCUAAUGCGCCGCGGGUCCAUCUGUAAGUGGUAGCUAAAAGCCACCUUUUAUGAUUGAA
rnacentral:rRNA from 1 species